CAGCAGCCGCGGGAAUACGAAGGGUGCAAGCGUUAAUCGGAAUUACUGGGCGUAAAGCGUGUGUAGGUGGUCGUUUAAGUCUGUCGUGAAAGCCCUGGGCUCAACCUGGGAAUUGCGAUGGAUACUGGGCGACUAGAGUCCGGUAGAGGAUAGUGGAGUUUCCGGUGUAGCAGUGAAAUGCGUAGAGAUCGGAAGGAACAUCUGUGGCGAAGGCGACUAUCUGGGCCAACACUGACACUGAGACACGAAAGCGUGGGGAGCAAACAGGAUUAGAUACCCCUGUAGUCCCUGUCUCUUAUAA
rnacentral:rRNA from 1 species